ensembl:rRNA 5S_rRNA 5S ribosomal RNA
GUCUACAGCCAGACCACCCUCAACACGCUCUAUCUCAUCUGAUCUCGAAAGCUAAGCAGGGUAGGGCCAGGUUAGUACUCGGAUGGGAAAAAUGUCUUCUCAGGUUCAAGCUUACAGAGUUUUAAGAUAAAGUGGAAA